UAUAUUUUCUGUUGGAAAUUCAUCCGCCACUUCGAACUCGGAUCCGUAUCCAGGCAUUUUCGUACCACUUCGGUCAGGUUGCUUUUUUAAAAUUGUACAUAUUUUUUUGAAUGUUAAACUUUAAAAUGCGAAUUCGAGAAAGGCGCGCGUUUAUUUUUAAACGAGUAAAAGGAUUUUUCAAUGAGAAUUACAGUCGUUGACGUUUUAACGUAAACAUGUAAUGGGGCUAGCUGCAAACCGAAUGAGGAAUAUUUCUACAUUGACGAAUGAAUCAUGACAUUUGCCAUUUUUUAUUUUGUUUCUCGAAAAUAAUUUCAAUGCUUCGUUUUUUUAUUGAAUACUCCAGAAAAUCCUUCCACUCAUUUUGGGAUAAUGAAUUCUUUUCUAUAAUUUAACAAACACUACGAUUCGUGUAUUUUGACGAUAACCAACACUGAAAAGUAUCUGGAGAAUUUAUCUUCUCAAACGAAAAUCGGAAAUGCUCAGAAAUUGGCUGAAAAUCAGAUUAUUAGACGAUCGAAAUCGCGUUCAAUGAAAAGGAUAUCUGAACUUCGGAAAUAUACGAAAAAAUUGUUUUUAUUUACAAUGCGAUUUCUUACGCGAUUUCUGGUUGAGUGCAUACAAGAAAUCGAAACAAGAGAAUUGAAUUGUGGCUAUUAGAAAUAUGAAUUACCAUGCUUCUGAGUAUUCUUUCAGUUAGCGAGCUUUUACGUUUUUCCCAUUUAUCUUUUUCGUCUUCGGCCUCUUCGAUGGAUUCUUCGCUAUCCGAUGAGACGAGCAUGAUGUCAAAAUCGUCUCGCGAUCUUCCGAGGAUUCCAACUUUUAUGCCUAAUUCAGCCAAUUUUUCUUCCGGCGCAAGAAGAGCAUUUUCCAGGAAAAAUGACGUGAUCGUGCUGACCCAAGGAUAGAACACGGUAGUCACAUUCCUGAGCAACUAUUUGACGAGGCAGAGGAGAGUUUCUCAAAAGUUUUUUUCCUGUUGCCAUCUUCGGACCUUGCAAUAUCCUCAACUCGUCGUCGAGCAUAAAUCGAUUGGCGAUGCCACCGCUGCGUCGAUCAGCUGUAUUGAAAGCAUCGGUACGAAGAAGUCUGUGCAGCUCAACUUCUGUAAAAAAAAAAAAAUAAUACAUUUUAUCGAGUAAUUUUGA